AUUGGAAACAUUUCUAUGGCGCAACACAGGAUUAUCAACAUGGACCAAGUAUUUGUCAUAGUGUUUGCAUCACUCUGUUUUAUACCAAUUUGUUUUCUACAAAGAAUUACAGUAGAAGGCCACAAAACCGCCCUUUACUGACCCCGAUUUACUACCCCAGUGACGCAACCUCCUUUUGGUAUGAUGUGCAUAGAUGCGUCGUAUACAGAAGGAAGGACGGUCUUCUAACCUCUUGGAAUGCCAUUGAUACUUGUGCUAAGAUUGUGAUGGAUCCAUCUAGCGAAUAUGUUUGGGAACCUGUCAACUGCUCGACCAGACUUCCAUUUAUGUGCAACAAGGGACACAAUAUACUAUUCACAUCUAAUGAGACUUAUGUCGGAAAACAAAUCGACAGAAACGUAACGGGGGUGGUGUUUAGUGUUUUCGAAAAUAAGACAACACCGCUUGAUUGCGAGACGCAUUGCCUGAAUGCUGCCAGGACUUGUAUCGCGGUGGAAGUCCUGCAGAUCAACGAGUCUUACUGGGUGUGUACCGCCGCUCAGAUUCAUUUCCAAGAGUUCAUUCAUAACAACAUGACUGUUCAGAUGAUUGAACUGAUUCCGGCACCUGACAACUUUACUGUAUAUGUUAAAGGUCUCAACCAGAGUGACGAAGUUAAUAUAAACAACGGAACAACAUUGCCGUCAGCAACAAAUUUCACAGAGGACAGUUUAAGAUGCAAUUUCAAUUACAAUUUUCCAACGACAACGUUAGCUCCAAAUUGCAGUUGCGUUUGCUCCUUCCAUAACUAUACGGACGCUGAACUUCAGGCAUGGAUUGAUAAGCUCAAGAGUGAACUGCUCCUCAACAAAAGGGCUCUGUCAUCGAAUGCCCGGAAGAAGAUCUCUGCCUCUGACCCCCGGGCCUCAUCACAGGCCAUAGGGAGUCUGGGGGCACUGGUGAUUGUGACAUUCAUCGGAAUUAUAGUUAUACCUGAUAUUCCACUUAUCCUAAAACAAAUUAAACACUUAUCAAAGAGGUAGAGAGUUCUCGUUUUAACGAAGUUUUCUGGAGCAUUGUGUUCAGACUGUUUUGUGAUAAACACUUUUUUAAUGUGACUAAGUCACAUAUAGAAAGGCCUUCUUUUUUAAAUAGAAAAAUGCAUAAAUCAAGAUAGCCAUAUCUCUUGUCUGUGCAGCACUCAGAGUUAUCACAGCGUUUAGAAACGGUGAAAUAACGGAUUCGAAUAACACCAUUGCAGACCUAAUGUGCAUUGUUUCUCGCAACAAUAAGCUUGUUUAAAUUGCCAUGAUGUGACCUACAAAACAUUGUAUUAUUUCUGUCUUCAUUGUGCAAGAUUGGUAAGGAGUGGUAAUGACUAUUGCUGAUUUGCAUUAUUUAAUUUUUUUCCAUACUAACAUUAUGAAGUGGUUUUUUGUUGUUGUUAUGUUGUUAAUGGUUCUUGGAAACAAUAAAUCUAACUAUUCACAAC
rnacentral:misc_RNA from 1 species